UACGUAGGGUGCGAGCGUUAAUCGGAAUUACUGGGCGUAAAGCGUGCGUAGGCGGUCCGCGAAGUCUGAUGUGAAAGCCCCCGGGCUCAACCUGGGAACUGCAUUGGAAACUAACGGGCUCGAGUGUGGCAGAGGGGGGUGGAAUUCCACGUGUAGCAGUGAAAUGCGUAGAUAUCAAGAGGAACACCAGUGGCGAAGGCGGCUCACUGGUCCGGUACUGACGCUGAGGUGCGAAAGCGUGGGGAGCAAACAGG
rnacentral:rRNA from 1 species